AUUGAACGCUGGCGGCAGGCUUAACACAUGCAAGUCGAGCGAGCGGCGGACGGGUGAGUAAUGUCUGGGAAACUGCCUGAUGGAGGGGGAUAACUACUGGAAACGGUAGCUAAUACCGCAUACCAUCAGAUGUGCCCAGAUGGGAUUAGCUAGUAGGUGGGGUAAUGGCUAACAUAGGCGACGAUCCCUAGCUGGUCUGAGAGGAUGACCAGCCACACUGGAACUGAGACACGGUCCAGACUCAUACGUGAGGCAGCAGUGGGGAAUAUUGCACAAGGGGCGCAAGCCUGAUGCAGCAAUGCCGCGUGGAUGAAGAAGGCCUUCGGGUUGGAAAGAACUUUCAGCGAGGAGGCGUGACUCGCAGAAGAAGCACCGGCUAACUCCGUGCCAGCAGCCGCGGUAAUUC
rnacentral:rRNA from 1 species